CAGCCGCCGCGGUAAUACCGGCGGCCCGAGUGGUGGCCGCUAUUAUUGGGCCUAAAGCGUCCGUAGCCGGGCUGGUAAGUCCUCCGGGAAAUCUGGUCGCUUAACGAUCAGACUUCCGGAGGAUACUGCUGGCCUAGGGACCGGGAGAGGCCGAGGGUAUUCCCGGGGUAGGGGUGAAAUCCUGUAAUCCCGGGAGGACCACCUGUGGCGAAGGCGCUCGGCUGGAACGGGUCCGACGGUGAGGGACGAAGGCCAGGGGAGCGAACCGGAUUAGAUACCCGGGUAGUCCUGGCUGUAAACGAUGCGGACUAGGUGUCGGGCAAGCUAAGGGCUGGUCCGGUGCCGCAGGGAAGCCGUUAAGUCCGCCGCCUGGGGAGUACGGCCGCAAGGCUGAAACUUAAAGGAAUUGGCGGG
rnacentral:rRNA from 1 species